rnacentral:rRNA from 1 species
CGAUUCAAUAUAGUUUGAUUAGUAAUUAUGUUUCUUUAAGUUUCUUUAAAAUUUCAUUAGAAAAUCAUUUUUUAGGUUAUUGUAUUAGAUAAGGAUUUAAUUGGUUGAAAAGUAUUAAGUACUGUGAAGGGUAUAAAAUAGUGAUUAUUAAAGAGUAAGUUGUAUUAGUUAUACGUACCUUGUGUAUCAGGGUCAAUUAAUUAGAAGAUAUGUAAUUGUUUUUCUCGAUUUUUUUAGAGUUAAUAAUUUAUGGUUAUUAUUGUGUAAGGAAUAUUACUAAUAAUUUGUUAGUGGUGAAAUAUCAUUCGUUGAAAAUGGUAUCUAGUUUCUUGGGAAAUUAAUUCAAUUAAAAUUUUUUUUUUAAUGAUUUUAAUUAAUAGAAAACUUUAAAGGAAAAUUACUAAUAAGUGGGAUAAGCUUUUUAUUAGAAGUUUAGAAGGUAAAUUGUUCACUAUAUUUCAUAGGUUUAAUAUUGGCUAAUAGUUAAAGUAUGUAAAAAUUUUAUAUAGUAGUGAGAUUGAUUUAUUAACCUUUAAUAAUUUACUGAGAUAUAUUAAUGAUCUUUAUAGUAGUAUUAAUAAUGAUUGAAUUAGUAAAAUGUAUUUAUAAGGUAAUAUAAUGAUAAAUUGGGGUGAGGAAUUCGGCAAUAGCUUAUUCGCCUGUUUAACAAAAACAUCUCCUCUUGGUUUAAUUAUGAGGUAUAACCUGCCCAAUGAAUGAAUUUAAUGGCCGCGGUACCUUGACCGUGCAAAGGUAGCAUAAUCAUUAGUCUUUUAAUUGGAGGCUGGAAUGAAUGGUUGGACGAGAUAAGUACUUUCUUAUUCAAAUAUGAUUAAAUUUAAUUAUUGAGUGAAAAAGCUUAAAUUUUUUUAUGGGACGAGAAGACCCUAUAGAGUUUAAUAAUUAUAAUUUGAUAGUUGAUAUGUAACUGAAUUUUAAUUAAUAAUUAUUUUGUUGGGGUGAUUGAAAGAUAAAUGUAACUCUUUCUUUAAUAUGUUUAUUGAUUUAUAUAUUUUUGAUCCAUUAUUAAUGAUUAUAAGACUAAAUUACCUUAGGGAUAACAGCGUGAUCUUUUCUGAGAGUUCUUAUCGAAGUUAAGGAUUGCGACCUCGAUGUUGGAUUAAAGAUUAGACUUAGGUGUAGCAGUUUAAGUUCUAGGUCUGUUCGACCUUUAAAUUCUUACAUGAUCUGAGUUCAAACCGGCGUGAGCCAGGUUGGUUUCAAUCUAUUAAAAUAUUAAAUACUUUAGUACGAAAGGACCAAGUAUUUAAAAUAAUUUUUAUAUCAGAAUAUUAUUAAGUGACUAUUUUGGCAGACAAGUGCAAUGGAUUUAGAAUCUAUAAAUGUAAUAUUAUAUUACAG